CAGUAGCCGCGGGAAUACGAAGGGUGCAAGCGUUAAUCGGAAUUACUGGGCAUAAAGGGUGCGUAGGCGGUUGUUUAAGUCUGUUGUGAAAUCCCCGGGCUCAACCUGGGAAUGGCAAUGGAAACUGGACGGCUAGAGUGUGUCAGAGGAUGGUGGAAUUCCCGGUGUAGCGGUGAAAUGCGUAGAGAUCGGGAGGAACAUCAGUGGCGAAGGCGGCGACCUGGUCCUUGACUGACGCUGAGGCGCGAAAGCGUAGGGAGCAAACAGGAUUAGAUACCCCCGUAGUCCCUGUCUCUUAUAC
rnacentral:rRNA from 1 species